rnacentral:rRNA from 1 species
UACAGAGGUGCCGAGCGUUAGGCGGAAUCACUGGGCUUAAAGCGUGUGUAGGCGGACGUCUAAGUACCUUGUGAAAUCCCACGGCUCACCCGUGGAACGGCUGGGUAUACUGGUCGUCUUGGGCCACCUAGGGGCCAGCGGAACAAAUGGUGGAGCGGUGAAAUGCGUAGAUAUCGGGAGGAACACCAGUGGCGAAGGCGGCUACCUGGCACAUAACUGACGCUGAUACGCGAAAGCGUGGGGAGCGAACCGG